GACGUAGGGCGCGAGCGUUGUCCGGAUUUAUUGGGCGUAAAGAGCUCGUAGGCGGCUUGUCGCGUCGUUCGUGAAAACCCACAGCUCAACUGUGGGCUUGCGGUCGAUACGGGCAGGCUGGAGUUCGGUAGGGGAGACUGGAAUUCCUGGUGUAGCGGUGAAAUGCGCAGAUAUCAGGAGGAACACCGGUGGCGAAGGCGGGACUCUGGGCCGAUACUGACGCUGAGGAGCGAAAGCGUGGGGAGCGAACAGG
rnacentral:rRNA from 1 species